GGGGUAGUGUAUAAGCCAGGAAAGUUCCCCACAAUAGCGGGACCAUUCCCCUGCUUACUCAUGGCAAGGAGCUCCUGUCCUUAGGCUACAGCUUGCAGCUCAUCCUCUGUGACCCAGCACCAGCUAAUGGAUUCGUUCCUCAGUGGAUUCUCUGGAUGUUGAAAUCUUUAUUCAGCUCGCUGCUGGUGUGUGCGCGUUUGAGGGUAUCUGAGUCUGUUCCAUCCACCCUGUGUACAGCUGCUCUUGACCCUGUUUGAAGGUAACCUGGUCCUGACCCUGAGCUCCGAUUUCUGCCUUCGGCUCUGGCCUCUGGCUCUGACCCUUGGCUCCAAUUUCUGGCUACCAGCUCCUGCUCUAACCACUGGAUAUGACUCCUGCUCCAACCACUCAGCAUGACCACU